GCCUACGGGUGGCAGCAGUGGGGCAUAUUUGGCAAUGGGCGCAAGCCUGACCCAGCAACGCCGCGUGACGGAAGAAGGCUUUCGGGUUGUAAACUUCUUUUCUCAGGGACGAAGAAAGUGACGGUACCUGAGGAAUAAGCCACGGCUAACUACGUGCCAGCAGCCGCGGUAAUACGUAGGUGGCAAGCGUUAUCCGGAUUUACUGGGUGUAAAGGGCGUGUAGGCGGGGAAGCAAGUCAGAUGUGAAAACCACGGGCUCAACCUGUGUCCUGCAUUUGUAACUGUUUUUCUUGAGUACUGGAGAGGCAGACGGAAUGCCUAGUGUAGCGGUGAAAUGCGUAGAUAUUAGGAGGAACACCAGUGGCGAAGGCGGUCUGCUGGACAGCAACUGACGCUGAGGCGCGAAAGCGUGGGGAGCAAACAGGAUUAGAUACCCGGGUAGUC
rnacentral:rRNA from 1 species